rnacentral:rRNA from 1 species
UACGUAGGGCGCAAGCGUUGUCCGGAAUUAUUGGGCGUAAAGAGCUCGUAGGCGGUUUGUCGCGUCUGCUGUGAAAACCUAAGGCUCAACCUUGGGCUUGCAGUGGGUACGGGCAGACUAGAGUGCGGUAGGGGUGACUGGAAUUCCUGGUGUAGCGGUGGAAUGCGCAGAUAUCGAGGAGGAACACCGAUGGCGAAGGCAGGUCACUGGGCCG